rnacentral:rRNA from 1 species
UACGAAGGGAGCAAGCGUUAAUCGGAAUUACUGGGCGUAAAGCGUGCGUAGGUGGUUUGUUAAGUCUGAUGUGAAAGCCCAGGGCUCAACCUGGGAAUGGCAUUGGAUACUGGCUUACUAGAGUGUGGUAGAGGGAUGUGGAAUUUCCGGUGUAGCGGUGAAAUGCGUAGAGAUCGGAAGGAACAUCUGUGGCGAAGGCGGCAUCCUGGACCAUCGCUGACACUGAGGCGCGAAAGCGUGGGGAGCAAACAGG